rnacentral:rRNA from 1 species
GACGCUGCGGCGUGCUAAUACAUGCAAGUCGAACGCUUCUUUUUCCACCGGAGCUUGCUCCACCGGAAAAAGAGGAGUGGCGAACGGGUGAGUAACACGUGGGUAACCUGCCCAUCAGAAGGGGAUAACACUUGGAAACAGGUGCUAAUACCGUAUAACAAUCGAAACCGCAUGGUUUUGAUUUGAAAGGCGCUUUCGGGUGUCGCUGAUGGAUGGACCCGCGGUGCAUUAGCUAGUUGGUGAGGUAACGGCUCACCAAGGCGACGAUGCAUAGCCGACCUGAGAGGGUGAUCGGCCACAUUGGGACUGAGACACGGCCCAAACUCCUACGGGAGGCAGCAGUAGGGAAUCUUCGGCAAUGGACGAAAGUCUGACCGAGCAACGCCGCGUGAGUGAAGAAGGUUUUCGGAUCGUAAAACUCUGUUGUUAGAGAAGAACAAGGAUGAGAGUAACUGUUCAUCCCUUGACGGUAUCUAACCAGAAAGCCACGGCUAACUACGUGCCAGCAGCCGCGGUAAUACGUAGGUGGCAAGCGUUGUCCGGAUUUAUUGGGCGUAAAGCGAGCGCAGGCGGUUUCUUAAGUCUGAUGUGAAAGCCCCCGGCUCAACCGGGGAGGGUCAUUGGAAACUGGGAGACUUGAGUGCAGAAGAGGAGAGUGGAAUUCCAUGUGUAGCGGUGAAAUGCGUAGAUAUAUGGAGGAACACCAGUGGCGAAGGCGGCUCUCUGGUCUGUAACUGACGCUGAGGCUCGAAAGCGUGGGGAGCAAACAGGAUUAGAUACCCUGGUAGUCCACGCCGUAAACGAUGAGUGCUAAGUGUUGGAGGGUUUCCGCCCUUCAGUGCUGCAGCUAACGCAUUAAGCACUCCGCCUGGGGAGUACGACCGCAAGGUUGAAACUCAAAGGAAUUGACGGGGGCCCGCACAAGCGGUGGAGCAUGUGGUUUAAUUCGAAGCAACGCGAAGAACCUUACCAGGUCUUGACAUCCUUUGACCACUCUAGAGAUAGAGCUUCCCCUUCGGGGGCAAAGUGACAGGUGGUGCAUGGUUGUCGUCAGCUCGUGUCGUGAGAUGUUGGGUUAAGUCCCGCAACGAGCGCAACCCUUAUUGUUAGUUGCCAUCAUUUAGUUGGGCACUCUAGCAAGACUGCCGGUGACAAACCGGAGGAAGGUGGGGAUGACGUCAAAUCAUCAUGCCCCUUAUGACCUGGGCUACACACGUGCUACAAUGGGAAGUACAACGAGUCGCAAAGUCGCGAGGCUAAGCUAAUCUCUUAAAGCUUCUCUCAGUUCGGAUUGUAGGCUGCAACUCGCCUACAUGAAGCCGGAAUCGCUAGUAAUCGCGGAUCAGCACGCCGCGGUGAAUACGUUCCCGGGCCUUGUACACACCGCCCGUCACACCACGAGAGUUUGUAACACCCGAAGUCGGUGAGGUAACCUUUUGGAGCCAGCCGCCUAAGUGGGAUAGAUGAUUGGGGUGAAGU